CAGAGGGUAGUUUAGAUAAAAUAUUAAUUUUGGGGAUUAAUGAGAAGAGUAAUCUUUCCUCUGA
rnacentral:tRNA from 1 species